rnacentral:rRNA from 1 species
CCGUGAAACGGGCCGCCCCCGCCAGAGGACCCCCUAACUCUGUUGCUAUAUGUAUCUUCUGAGUAAACAAGCAAAUAAAUUAAAACUUUCAACAACGGAUCUCUUGGCUCUGGCAUCGAUGAAGAACGCAGCGAAAUGCGAUAAGUAAUGUGAAUUGCAGAAUUCAGUGAAUCAUCGAAUCUUUGAACGCACAUUGCGCCCGCCAGUAUUCUGGCGGGCAUGCCUGUUCGAGCGUCAUUACAACCCUCAGGCCCCCGGGCCUGGCGUUGGGGAUCGGCGAGGCGCCCCCCUGCGGGCACGCGCCGUCCCCCAAAUACAGUGGCGGUCCCGCCGCAGCUUCCAUUGCGUAGUAGCUAACACCUCGCAACUGGAGAGCGGCGCGGCCAUGCCGUAAAACACCCAACUUCUGAAUGUUGACCUCGAAUCAGGUAGGAAUACCCGCUGAACUUAAGCAUAUCA